CAGCAAUGUACAAGUGUACCCUUUUCCCCACAUCCUCGCCAGCACUUGUUGUUUGACUUCAUAAUGGCGGCCAAUCUUACUGGUAUACUUAGGAUUUAUUUGCUUUAGUACUUAUAAGUUACAACUCAAUUUAAAACAAAAAUUAAAUACCCCAAGUAGAGAUUAUGUGGCCUACACACAUACAUUCUGGGACAGUUUGAGGAUAUGUAGAAAGGAAUAUGAUGAAGAAUAGAUAGGGACAGCCCUUUUGUGGUGAAGCUGUUUCAAGUUUUAGUAACUCAGUUUGGCAAACCUUAGGUUACCUUAAGUGUCCUGCUAUUAGGGACAGUAGUACUAAGGUGGAGGAAAAUAGACCUUUGUAUAUUUUAUGGCCAGAGUUAGUGUUUGGGUUCAGUGGAAAUAUAGGUGCUGAUUUCUUAUUAAAGUCUGAACAUAUCUGAGUGGGCAGUGGUUGGAGUAGAAGCUGCAGAGGUGGCAGGCUUGUCCAGGAACCCUUACUGAGUACAUGGGCUGCAUUUCUGCUCUAGAAAGCUCCUCCCAUGGAAACACUGAGGAGCAAGAUUCCAAUUAGGUGGAUAAUCUUAGAGGGAGGGGGUAGGACCUAGAUGAAUUCUAACAGAAUAGAGAGAUUAGGACAGUAGGUGAGUCAGUAAGCAUGUAGAGGGGUUGAAAGAUUUAGUUAUACAGGUAAUAAAUAUACCUUCUUAUUAUUAAACUAUUCAAAUAAUG
rnacentral:lncRNA from 1 species